rnacentral:rRNA from 1 species
AUGGGUGAGGAAAAUCGGAGGUUGCGGUGCGAGCGGCAGUAGGGUGC